rnacentral:rRNA from 1 species
UACAGAGGUCUCAAGCGUUGUUCGGAUUCAUUGGGCGUAAAGGGUGCGUAGGCGGCGCGGUAAGUCGGGUGUGAAAUCUCGGGGCUUAACUCCGAAACUGCAUUCGAUACUGCCGUGCUUGAGGACUGGAGAGGAGACUGGAAUUUACGGUGUAGCGGUGAAAAUGCGUAGAUAUCGUAAGGAAGACCAGUGGCGAAGGCGGGUCUCUGGACAGUUCCUGACGCUGAGGCACGAAGGUCAGGGGGAGCAAACGGG